rnacentral:tRNA from 2 species
GGUAGCGUGUCCGAGCGGCCGAAGGAGCGCGCCUCGAAAGCGCGUGAGGUUCACGCCUCCGUGGGUUCAAAUCCCACCGCUACCGCCA